GUGACUUCCGCUUCGUCUUCGCAAUUUUCCGCCAGCCUCCGCUUCUGUGAGGGCCUGGCUCCAGCGGCUUCCGCACGCGGGCUCCUCGGAGAUCGCGAGGCCCGUGUUCAGCUUCUCAGAGGGAGGUCUCCAGCGUGCAAGCCGUGGCUGUUCCGGGCCUGUUGUCCUUCGGUGCAGGAAUCGCUUUUGGGGGGCUGAGACCCUUCAGGAGGUGACGGCUGGCUUCGUCGUGCUUCGUUCACUCUCUGUUCUCUGUUCUUCUUCAAGAGGCAUGGCCUUUGGAAAAGAGGAAAUGGCCCCUGUGCUGACAGCAAGGGUCCAACAGGUAAGUGAGAGGUUCCUGUUUCUUAUGGUGAGGGAAGACAGCCCCCUUUCAGACUGUGGUGCCUUUCAUGAUUGAAAGGGGCAAGGAUUAAAGCAAACCUGAGAUUGGCCUAUGAAGAAUACUAUGUGCACAAACAAAGCCAAUGCAUCCAAAAUUAGAAUGAAUACAAGAAACUGAGGGGGAAAUUUUUUUUACAGAAAAUUUUUUCGAUAAAGGUCUGAUUUCUCAAAUAUAUAGGGAACUAAGCCAAAUUUGUUAAAGUAAGAGCCAUUCCCCAGUUGAUAAAUGAUCAAAAGAUACAAACAGGCAGUUUUCAGAAGAGAUCACAGCUAUCAAUAGCUAUAUGAAAAAAUGCUCUAAAUGAUAUUGAUUAGGAAAAAACAACAACUCUGAAGUA
rnacentral:lncRNA from 1 species